rnacentral:sRNA from 1 species
UACUAUAUGAUAAGAAAAAACAUAUAAAAUACAGAUUUGUAAAUCAUAAAUAUAUUAAAAACAAUUACUCUGUUAAAAAUUCAUCCACCAAAACAAUCAUCAACUAACCAAACGCUGUCACGACAGGGAAUCUAUAAAUUAUUAUUUUAUAACCGGUUUUUCAAUUAAUUUACAGUUUUAAUUUAUUUUUAAU